rnacentral:rRNA from 1 species
GUUAGGAAUAUUGGACAAUGGGCGAAAGCCUGAUCCAGCCAUGCCGCGUGAACGAUGAAGGCCUUCGGGUUGUAAAGUUCUUUAGCCGAUGAUUAUAAUGACUGUAGUCGGAAAAUAAGCCCCGGCUAACUUCGUGCCAGCAGCCGCGGUAAUACGAAGGGGGCGAGCGUUAUUCGGAAUCACUGGGCGUAAAGCGUGCGUAGGCGGUCUCGUAAGUUAGGAGUGAAAGCCCAGGGCUCAACCUUGGAAUUGCUCUUAAAACUGCAAGGCUAGAAUCUCGGAGAGGAUAGCGGAAUUUCCAGUGUAGCAGUGAAAUGCGUAGAUAUUGGAAGGAACACCAGUGGCGUAAGCGGCUAUCUGGACGAGUAUUGACGCUGAGGCACGAAAGCGUGGGGAUCAAACAGGAUUAGAUACCCCUGUAGUCC